rnacentral:rRNA from 1 species
GACGAAGGAUGCAAGCGUUAUCCGGAUUCAUUGGGUUUAAAGGGAGCGUAGGUGGCCUUAUAAGUCAGUGGUGAAAUCUCUCGGCUUAACCGAGAAAUUGCCAUUGAUACUGUAGGGCUUGAGUAUAGUUGCCGUUGGCGGAAUAUGACAUGUAGUGGUGAAAUACAUAGAGAUGUCAUAGAACACCAAUUGCGAGGGCAGCUGGCUACACGAAUAUUGACACUGAUGCACGAAAGCGUGGGGAUCAAACAGG